CCUACGGGUGGCAGCAGUAGGGAAUCUUCCACAAUGGGCGAAAGCCUGAUGGAGCAACGCCGCGUGGGUGAAGAAGGUCUUCGGAUCGUAAAACCCUGUUGUUAGAGAAGAAAGUGCGUGAGAGUAACUGUUCACGUGUCGACGGUAUCUAACCAGAAAGCCACGGCUAACUACGUGCCAGCAGCCGCGGGAAUACGUAGGUGGCAAGCGUUAUCCGGAUUUAGUGGGCGUAAAGGGAACGCAGGCGGUCUUUUAAGUCUGAUGUGAAAGCCUUCGGCUUAACCGGAGUAGUGCAUUGGAAACUGGGAGACUUGAGUGCAGAAGAGGAGAGUGGAACUCCAUGUGUAGCGGUGAAAUGCGUAGAUAUAUGGAAGAACACCAGUGGCGAAGGCGGCUCUCUGGUCUGUAACUGACGCUGAGGUUCGAAAGCGUGGGUAGCAAACAGGAUUAGAUACCCUAGUAGUC
rnacentral:rRNA from 1 species